UACCUAUUUGGUCAUGGUUAGAACUCGGAUCAUUUGAUGGACCUUGUGGCCAGUUAGAUUUGGUGGUCGGAUUUCGUUCUCUGCUCUGCUUUCGAGUUUCACCACUGCUCUAUUUUUCCUAGAUGACACAUGAAUGGUGAUAUGCGAUUCUGCUGCUCUUCUCAUGAUUUCACGUCCUUUCUGAAAACUGAUUCUGCUACCCGAGCUAGCAACAUCCCUUCUCAGUUCUCAUUCCAUGGCUGCAACCAUUUCGCUUUCCUUUCCUUUGGAUCCGCAGAAGCUUCACCAUCCCUCUCGUCUCCCCUCGUCUUCUGUACCUAGACAUCUCCAAUCUCGUUUCUUUACUCGGCUAUCACCCAUCUACAAAUACCCACUUGCCACGUUCCAUAGAGAUGGCACGUUCAGCUUCAACUUUAAGUCUUCAUCUUCCUCUUCAUCUCAUUCUUCAACAACACUUUCAACCCCAACCUCUUCGUGCCAGCAAGACCCCUUUCGCAUCGGUCGAUUUUUGAGUAAUGAUGAGCUCGAAAAGCUCAAAUUCCUUGAAAAUUUCGUAUAUUUUAAGGAAUUGAAAUCUGGGUCUUUGCGGGUUCGGGUAAUGGGGGAGGAGGAAAUGGACAUGACCAUUGGGUUGCUUGCCGAAUCAUUUGCUGAGUCAAUGGUGUUACCCGUAGGUUAUGUUUCUGUGUUGAAGUUUUUGGUAAAGCAGUAUUUGGUUGAGAGGAAAGUUCAAAUGCCGCACAUGGCCACGCUUAUCGGAUUUUACAAAGAAACGGUGGAAGGCGGUGAAGAACAAGAAGUUCAGUUAGCAGGGACGGUGGAGGUUUGUUUUAACAAGAGAGGUGCCAAUGUUUCACCUCCAACACCCACGCCUCCCAAAGAUUCGCCUUACAUAUGUAAUAUGGCAGUAAAAGAUUCUCUGAGGAGGAGGGGCAUUGGCUGGCAUCUUCUAAAGGCAAGUGAGGAGCUAAUUUCUCAGAUGAGUUCCUCAAGAGAAGUUUAUUUACACUGUAGAAUGAUAGAUGCAGCUCCCCUUAACAUGUAUAAAAAAGCGGAUUACAAAAUUGUAAAGACGGAUAGUGUAUUAGUUCUGCUGAUGUUGCAGAGACGCAAGUACCUGAUGCGCAAGAAACUCCCUCUCUUAAGUAACCCUCCAAAGUUAGACGUUCCAGAAUCUGAUACAGAAAAGUCUUCUGCAUGAAUACAGGCAAAGAAGUGGUAGCAAUGAUGGUCAUGGGGGUUUGAAUUAUGAGUAGGGAUCAAAUCAGUGGUUCAGGGAUCCCUAUUUGUAUCCGCCUAUCUAUAGGGCUGAGAAACAUUGUGUUGCAGCUCUUUUACACAUUCUGCCAUAGAAGGUCUCUCACUACUGUCUGUGCGGAUACAUCGUGAUGCAAGAUUGGCAAACAUGGCUAUGGACUCCAUGGUAUAAGAAUUUCGUGCCAUUUCUGGGUCUAUCACCCUGCGGAGCUUCUUGCGGUCAUUCAGUAUGUUUCUCACCUAUAUGUCAAUGUGGACAAUAUCAAUCCCCGUCCUUUAAAACUUGUAAACCAGAAUGUUUUAUGAUGGGAAUAUGGACAAUUACUACACACAUAUUUAGGGAUGCUGAACAAAAUUGGAAACAAAGGAAAUUCACUGAAGAAAAUAACUAGUUAUUAGUAAUUGAAUGACCAAGUGUUUUGGAAUGGAAGAAAGUAAUAGCAUUGGUGACUUUCUGGGUUUAAUAUGUUGCUUUGACUUCCUCAAGGAAUUGUAUACCCUUCUGUAUAUAUAUUUUCUUUUACCUGUAAUACAAGGUUUUGAUCAUUUGGACCUUGGUUUAAAUCUACAGCUCGACGUCCUGUCAAAAGCUCAAGAAGAACAACACCAAAGCAUAAAACAUCACUUUGUAGCGUCAGUUUCCCCGUCUGUUGUCAAAGGAAAUAAAUUAAUUAUUAGAUUCAGACCAAUCUUUGGCAAUAUCCGGCUACAAGACUACUUCAUUGUUUGUGGACAUGUAGGGUUUUCAGUGAUAGAGCAGUAUGCAUGUUUCAUUGAGAGAAAAAGAACCAGAUAGAUAAUGUCAAGUUUACCGUCAUUACUUGAUAAAAAGCACCCUAGUUAUCAACCUACUUAUUUGGAUUAUGUUCGAUAAAGUUCAUGUCCUAGCAUCACGACAACUAUAAGAGCUGUCUCACUCGAUUUUACCUUA